UCUGGGCUCGAGCCUGCCUGGAGCCGCCGCCGGUGCAGAUCUUGGUGGUAGUAGCAAAUACUCCAGCGAGGCCCUGGAGGACUGAUGUGGAGAAGGGUUUCGUGUGAACAGCCGUUGCACACGAGUCAGUCGAUCCUAAGCCCUAGGAGAAAUCCGACGCCUACGGCGACGGGAUUUUUGAAAUUAUGAAACCCGUUGAUCGGGCGAAAGGGAAUCCGGUUCCUAUUCCGGAACCCGGCAGCGGAACCGCUGUUUGUCGGGCCCUCACAAGGGGUUCGUCAGGGUAACCUAAAAGGGCCCGGAGACGCCGUCGGGAGCCCCGGAAAGAGUUUUCUUUUCUGCAUGAGCGUUCGAGUUCCCUGGAAUCCUCUCGCAGGGAGAUAGGGUUUGGAACGCGAAGAGCACCGCAGUUGCGGCGGUGCCCGGGAAUUCCCGACGGACCUUGAAAAUCCGGGAGAGGGCCACGUGGAGGUGUCGCGCCGGCUCGUACCCAUAUCCGCAGCAGGUCUCCAAGGUGAAGAGCCUCUAGUCGAUAGAAUAAUGUAGGUAAGGGAAGUCGGCAAAUCGGAUCCGUAACUUCGGG
rnacentral:rRNA from 1 species